rnacentral:ncRNA from 1 species
UAAAAGUUUUAUUCUUGCUUAUAAAUUUACUUAAAGUUUGUUUUACAUGUAAGUUUUUGCGUGAGUUAAUUUAAUCUAAAUGAUUAAUUUAUAUUUGAUUCGCAGUAUUUAAUAUUAUUAAUUAAGGAAAGUUAGAAUUAGCGAUAUUUUUUAGUUCCGGCAAAAGUCGUGCCAGCCGCCGCGGUUAUACGGAGGGGGCGAGUAAUUUUUAUUAGUUUAUAGUUAUAUGGUAAGUAUUGAAAAUAAUGAUGAAUUUAUUGGGUGGAAUUUUAAAUUCAGAAAAUUUUUACAAAUUUUAUGGAAGCUGGGAAAUUUAAGUUAUAGACUAGGAUUAGAUACCCUAUUAUUUUAAAUGUAAAUUGAUUAAACUAGAGUAGUAAUAGUUAUGUUCUUGAAACUCAUAGAAUUUGGCGGUGUUUUAGUCUUUUCAGAGGAACCUGUCCCGUAAUCGAUAAUCCACGUUAGACCUAACUUAUUUUUGUUGUCAGCUUGUAUACCGCCGUCGUCAGAAUGUCCUAGGAGGGUUAAAAUUUUCUUAAAUUUUUAUUAAAAAUGAUGUCAGGUCAAGGUGUAGCUAACAAAUAAGUGGUGAUGGGUUACAAUAAAUUUAUUUAUACGGAUAAAGUUUUGAAAUUAUUCUUUUGAAGGUGGAUUUGAUUGUAAUUACUUUAAUUAAGAUAAUUUGAUAAAAGCUCUAAAACAUGCACACAUCGCCCGUCGCUCUCGUUAAUUAAGGCGAGAUAAGUCGUAACAUAGUAGGUGUACCGGAAGGUGCACCUGGUAAGU